AUUUCUAUUCACAUCACUUAUUUUAUUUUAAAAAACACAAAAUCUAACAUUUCUCUACCCCAAUUCGGCAAUUCCCAAAACCUAAAAUCAAUUCCCCUUCUCCCAUCUCUCACAUCCGAUUCUCCCCUCCCCCGCCGCCGCAAUCUGCCCCACUGCGCCCCGCCCCUCCACCGCCACGAUCUGCUUCGCUGGACCACCUUCAAACCUGAAACCCUAAUCUAGCGCGCCUCCACAAUCUGCACACACUUGCGCCCCUCUGAGGCGCGACCAGACCCCGUCGCACCACCUUCGGCCGCCGUCGCGUCGCCGCGCUGCGCCGUCGCGACCAGAGCAGUCCGCCAGUUGCGCGCUUGGAGCAGGGGAUGAUACAGUCAGGUUUAUGCUGAGUUGGCUUCAAAGUAUCGUGUUCAAGUUUUCAAGACUUUGAAGCUCAAAGUGGGGAAGAACUUGACAUCUGAUAUUGAAGUUCUUAAAGCUAUACGCACAAUCCAUUCUGAUUGUUUGUUAAUUUUGGAGUGUGGAGAGGUUUGAUUUUAUUAGUCUGUUCUGAGUAAUUAACAUAACUCAAGGAAGUUCCGUAUUACUGUUAGGUUUAUGCUGAGUUGGCUUCAAAGUAUCGUGUUCAAGUUUUGCAAGACUUUGAAGCUCAAAGUGGGGAAGAACUUGACAUCUGAUAUUGAAGUUCUUAAAGCUAUACGCACAGUCCAUUCUGAUUGUUUGUUCAUUUUAGAUGCUAAUAAAGGUUAUAUCUUUGAGGAAGCCAUUCAAGUUCUCCAAAAAUUUCACGGCAGAGGAUCCAGUUCUUGGGGGUUAUGAAGGUUAAAAUUGCCUUGAUUCUCCAGCACGGGUCUUAACUUAACGUCAGCAGACACUGUUGUGUUCUUGGAGUUACCCACGAACCCUGCUGAUAUUCAACAGGUGCCUUUGAUACCCUAUUAAUCUUUUGAUCAGGUGGAGUCUGCAAUUGAUAAAAUUGGAGAAGUGGGGGUGAGUUUGUGGAAUAGCGCAGACCAAGUGAUUGGAGCUAUUACGUCCCUUACGGGUGCAGUGAAGCCCGUCGUAGAUGCAGUGUGGCCUAUAUUAAAGCAAGCUGGAUAGCACAUUCAAUCUUUUGAAGAUAAAAUAUUUUGUUGCUGAUUCUUUUAGAUGUGGGUUUGGGGAUCAUCGGGUUCCACUUGCAUUCAAGCUUGAUCUCUUAAAGAAACUAUUGCAAGGUAUGGCAUGGCAGGGAAGCAUAUUUCUCAUUCUUGGGUUGAUUUCUCAAGGUACACAGUGCAUUCUUUUGGGAUUUGGUGUAAUGAAAAAUUUACAUGCUAUGUGACAGUACGGGGUGACAAGGCAAUGCAAAUCAUUCAGAGUGGACUGAAGGUGAAGGUGUAUGAACUGUUGAGAAGAAACUUUAGUGAAAUUAGUUGUUUUGGCUUUUAGUAUUCAGGAGCAUAUUGCUCUUAGAAUUAAUUAAAUCUCACUUGCUCUCUUGCGAAAGUUGUUGCUUGAUACAUCUCGUGCUGCCAAAUGUUUUUGAAAUAUAAAUUGAAUUAUAUGCUUGAUAAUA